rnacentral:rRNA from 1 species
UACAGGGGGUGCAAACGUUGCUCGGAAUUAUUGGGCGUAAAGCGCGCGUAGGCUGCUACCUAAGUCGGAUGUGAAAGCCCCUGGCUUAACUGGGGAAGUGCACCCGAAACUGAGUAGCUAGAGUGCGAAAGAGGGUCGCGGAAUUCCCGGUGUAGAGGUGAAAUUCGUAGAUAUCGGGAGGAACACCGGUGGCGAAGGCGGCGACCUGGGUCGACACUGACGCUGAGGCGCGAAAGCGUGGGGAGCAAACAGG